UACAGAGGGUGCGAGCGUUGUCCGGAAUCACUGGGCGUAAAGGGCGCGUAGGUGGCGGGCCAAGUCCAUGGUGAAAGCUCGAUGCUCAACAUCGAGUCGGCCACGGAUACUGGUUUGCUGGAGCACUGUAGAGGCAGAUGGAAUUCCGGGUGUAGCGGUGGAAUGCGUAGAGAUCCGGAGGAACACCGGUGGCGAAGGCGGGUCUCUGGGCCGAUACUGACGCUGAGGAGCGAAAGCAUGGGUAGCGAACAGG
rnacentral:rRNA from 1 species